rnacentral:lncRNA from 1 species
GGUGCUUCCUGCACACCAUGUGCCGCGCUAACCUCUUAAGACAAGGUCAUGCACACAACCUGAGCGCGUGCCUUGCCGCUUGGCUGUGCCAUGACCUUGUAAUGUGCAUGCAACCUGACCUAAAAUAACCUCUAUGACCAAAACGCAUGCCCAUCUCGCACAUAUAUGCAUGACUCACGACCACUAUUCAACACUAUUUAACUUCCAGAAUCAUGACCUAUCUUUCAAAAAUCAUAACUUAAAAUACAUAACUUUUUUUAUAAAACUGCCUUCUACAAAGUUGCUUUAAAUUUUCUUAGCUUUCUUACUUCAAAUUUUCAAAGACAAAUUCCAAGUAAUAAGUCUUGUAGCUUUCUUGAAGUGUGUCUUGCUCAGAUGCACCCGAGAAAUGACCUCGCCUUCCCUUGAUUAAAAUGCAAACUUCCUUUAAUCCAAGAUUAAUGCACAACAAUCCUCUCUUAUAAACUAGACUCAAUUUAUGAACUUUUAAGACCAAUUUGAGUGAUUUUUUAUCAGUAAGUUAUGAGAAUUAAAUACUGAAGUUGGCCUGUUUAUAAAGUCUCUUGCAUGAGAUUAAGGUGACACUUAUCUUUGAUUCGAAUCACCUCUUGAGCAUGUACUUACAUCUUAGCAAGUCCUCCAUGCCCUCUUUGGCCACAAAAUGAAUGAUGAUAUGGUUAAGACAGUUGGACUUACUUUUAGCCGAAUGCCCUCAUCAUGCUACAUCCUGAUGGAAAGCAUACAAACGCAACGGAAAAACGAAUCAAUUUUACUCUAUAUGCAACUAAAUUAUUUAGUGAAAAACAUGCUUGAAAAGCCCUAAUUAAAAAAAAUUAGGGUAAAGAAAAUAUACCUUUGAUGCUUUAAUUCUCAAUAUCUCCUCACGUACUAAAACCAGGACAACCAGUACUGGAAUUGAUCUGCUAAUCUCCAGGCUUAGAACUGGAUCGUGGGACCAAAUUAGUUGAAGGGUCUAAGGGAGAUGUAUGGAAAUUUGAAGGUAAAAGUUUGGUUGAAAUUUUGGAGAGUAAUGAUUUUGUAAUUUCCAAAAUUACUAGAAAAUGGCAAAACUUUUUAAUGAAAAAGAAAACAACUCUACUUAUAACCUAAUUACAUGCAAAAUUGUUAGUGGAACUUAGUGGGAUAGGUGUCUACGUCUAAUGUAGCCACAUAUCCCACUGAGUGUUAAUGGGAUUAUCCAACAAAAUGUUGGAUUUUUCCACUAACUUAGUCCAAG